GUGUGCCCCUCAGUCCUUGAACUUGGGAAGGCCUAAGUGCUGCUCUCGUAAGUGAGUGAGGCCACCCCGAGCCCCCACCUUGCUGCAGUCGUGACACAGCAACUUUGCCAAACUUCCUCCCUUCCCCCCUCCUGCUGUGGUGCCUCCUUCUCUCUGGGCCAAGCAGUAAAAGGCCUAUGGAAGGGCCUACCCCUGAAGGUCGGGGAAAGGCACGAGGCCCUAGCCAGAGAGAAAGAUAAAGAACAGCUUUCCCCCUUCGCGAUUCCGGAAAAAUCACUCCCACCAGAUAGAUCCCUCCCCUCUUCCCCAACCCUUCCCGGGCUUCUGAGUCACAGGCCCUGGCUGAAGCAGCAAGAAAAUAUUUCUGGGAAUGAAACAGCCAGCCCAGCAUUUUGGGAAAGGCCUGACAGUGGGGUUGGAGGCACUUGGGGAGAGUGAAAUGGGACAAAAGCUACGAUACAUAGCGUUUUGUGCCUCGGGAAGGGAGAAGGAGGGAUAGCGCUCGCACACACGUGAAGGCGAAGCUGAAUUUUGCACAACCUGCAAGAGCAGCCAUGUGAUAACUGCAAGCUUCCCAACAUCAAUGACACAAAGGGAGCACUGUAACCCUCCCGGCAAGGGUUGGGGAAGAGAAGUGUGUGCGGGGGAGACCCUGAAGCUGAACACACUGCAUCUCGAAAACUGAUUGCCGGGGUUAAUACCAUGCCAAAGGCCAUUUAAAAACAUCGCACAGUGAGUAGGGAUGGGCAGCAGGCACCAUUCUCACUUCCCCAGCCCGUUAAAUCCCCCUCCUUAAUCCCCUCAAAAUACUUCCGUUCUCACCUGACUCGGGAUCCCUGCACCCCUAAGGGACGGUGGGGAGGGAAGUCACAUACCGGCAACCCCGUCCUCUCAUUGACAGGAAAGGGGGUGAUUGGAUACUUCCCCUCCCCCACCAUAGGUGCCCCCUUGCCCCGGUAUUGACCCCAACUUCUCCCACGCUAUUAGACGCAAAAUGCUUGACAAUAUUCCGCCCCCCUCCCCCCCGCCGCAACCCUCACCAGCCCCCAGGACCCCACUUCACCAUCCUACCUAUUGGCUGAAAACCUGAAUGACUGACAUUACCUCACAAGGAAGGCCUUUCUCACCUGGCUCCGGCAACCCUCCCGCGGGGGCUCUGGUGCUCCCCUCGCCUCGGUGUGGGGGGGAGGGUGUAAUCCGGGGUGUCACCCCCCCGGAAACUGCAGCGGUGGGGGGGCGGCACCCCUGGCCCCUCCCUUCCUGGGGGGAAAGAGUAUCGGGACCGCGAGGCCACGUCAGCAGUGCCGGGAUUGGUUAAGCCAGGUCACGUGCUAUUAGCCCCCGCCACUAGUCAUCCGGGCAAGUUUUCCGUAGGUUUUUUUAGGAAUGCCCGGGGAGGCCCGGGGCUCUCUGUCCCCCAGACCUAAAUCCACGGUUCUGCUACUGUCUCCUCUCUCAACCUGGAUUUCUUUUCAGCGACUGUCGCGCUCCCCCCAUGUCUCCUCCCAGUCCGGGUUCAGCAUGGCUCCCGCAGCCCCGGGGCGGGCAGGGCGCAGGCGCGAGGGUGCGGUCCGAAGCGGUAAGGGGAGGGGAGGGGAGCCGACGUGGGGGUGGGGGUGGGGGUGAGGCCGCGGGGCGGUGCGCAGAAGCCGGAGCAGGCAGCGCUCGCCGGGCUGCGGGGCCUCGCGCCUUUGGGACGCCUCUCUCGCACCCUCUAGGGUGGUGGGUGUUAAGAGGCUGGCGCAUUAAUCAGUUUUCUCUCCUCGCGUCACCCCGGGGCUGGCUUUGCCGCCACCCGCACCCUCGGCCUAGUUUCCGCGGCGGGGGCGGCCUCGGGGAUGCGUGGGGGAGGGGCCUGCCGCCCGGGCUUGGAAGUUUCCGCCGCCGCAGCCAGCUUGGGGGAGUCGCAGCGUAGGUGACGCCCGCUGUUUGGGACGCUUCCGCGUGGGCGCCGUUUCAGGCCGCUGCCCCGCGCGCCUUCCUCAGACCUCCCUGCUCACAGCGUGGCUGCACGUUUGCUGCAGCCCCCACGAGUCCUUGGGUCACAGCUGCCCGGCUGAUACUCCCGAACCUGUGGCCGGAGCUCGCGCUUUCCGAGUCGCCUCCGGAGAACGGAAAGCUCUUCCCGGUCUAAGUUCACCCGGCCCUGUCUAGAUUGAUUCCACACUAUUCGUUUGCACAAGACUCUGCCCUUGACGCUCAGGAAGUGCGAGGCCGCUUCCUGCCCUAGCGUGGAACUGCCUUCCCGGGCGCCCCUUGGAGUCCCGGUCUGAGAAGGGCCUCCGUUUUUCCCUCCGCUUCCCCUCAAGCGCAGCCCCGCAGAGUAGCUGACUAGCGAGCCUUUGUGAGGGGGGCUCUCUUAGACUAGAAAGCAAAUGAAGCGGGAACCUAAUUGGAGAGGAUUUCAGGAUUUCCCGGCCGCGAGGGAGAAGUCUGAAACGCCUGAAUUAGGACAGGUAGCUCUACCAUAGACGGAUGGAGGAGCUUCGGCUCAGCCUCGGGGCAGGUUUUUGGAGGCCCCGCCUUAUCGUAUCCCGUCAGGCAGCUGAAUUGCAGUGUCAGGCUCCCCUGUAAAUCUGCCCGGGACUGAUGCGUCUUUGCCAAAUCCUCUUCGGACUUGGCCCACCCUGGCAUUCUGCCUGCGGUCUCUUUCCCCUUGCUAGAACUCUCUUAAGAUGCCGUGGGUCUGGCCGGUGGAUGGCAUUGCCCACCUCGUGGCGCAUCCCUCCUUCCUGCUUCCACUAGUGCGUUCCACCAGGGAAACUGUCUUUACGUGUGCGUGAACUGGUUUCGACCAUGAGGUUUAAUUGAUUAAAUUCCUGUGACAGACACAAGACCCGUGAAGGGGAAGGGGAGCAAAAGCACUUUGCACAAGGGAAGUCCCUGAAGGCAGUUUUACAGCUGUGAUUCGAAACAGUCCGCCGGGGUGACCCAGUUGUGUAGACAAACUUCUAGGUGAGCAGAGAGAAUAGAGCACAGUGACUGGGGUGCUGGGUCUGAAGUCCGUAAGACUUGCUAGACUCUAAUCCCGCCAAAGACAUCUGUUUACUAACGGGGCAAGUCACUUAACACUGCUUGCUUUAGUUACUCCUCUGUGCGGUGAGCUGGAAAAGGAAAUGGUGUGCUUGGACAGUGUCGUGGUCAAGAAAUCCCAGAUGGAGUCAUGAAAGAGUCACACAUGACUGAACAGCAAAAGAAAGAAUAAAGACAUUACUCACUUGAGAGGGGAUGACUUUGUGGAGGAUAAGGCCUUUGUGUCAGGAGACAGAAAAAUAGAUGUGGGGAGAAGAAUAAAGAACAAUCAAACGUUAAUUUUUUUCAAAAUUUAUUUUAUUUAAAGAAACAAUAAGAAAGACAGAAAAGCAAUGCAAAACAAAAGAGCAUUGUCAUUCUGCCCAGCAGACGUCAGGGAGGAUUAAUAUAUAACAGCAAAUACUGUUAUGGGCCAGAAUUCUGAGCUUGAAACAAAGGAUGCUUACAAGGUAUUGCGUGUAACUGAGGAGACAAUGGUUAAAUCUAGUUUAGCAUGGAUUUAAUCCUACAACAAAUAAUGGUUUCCUAGUGAUAUAAUGAUUGGUUUAUUCUCAGUGCAGAGCAUAUAAGCUAGGAGCUUUAGCCAGGAUUUAUUUGGGGAAAGUCAGAAGCCAGAGAAGACAGAUGGGAGCUCAAGCUCUUGGAACCAAGGAGAGAGAUAGACCUGUAAGAAAACUAGCUGAACCCCAAGCGAAGGAAAUAGGACUUUGAAGGAGACAAUAAAGCAUUUGGACUUUAACAUCUGGCUGUACUUGUGGUGAUUGCUCUGAAAUGAAACAAAAGCCGCUCCCAGAGACCCCAAGGAAACCGAACCAGAGAACAUUAUAUUUUGGUGCCUAACAUGGGGCUAAGAACUUUCAUCUGUGACCCAGAAAUUAGGGUGAGUACAAAAAUAGACAAAGUAACUUUGUUAAGGGUUAAAGUAGUAUGCCCGCUAAAACAAGACAUGUUUAGAAGGGAGAUUUCUCCACCAAAAGGAAAAUGUCGAAACCUUGGUCAGACUGAUAAAAAAAAUCAAGGUUUAAUUGUAACUUGGGAGCACAUCAUUGAACUUUUAGAAACAGUAUAGUACACAUCUCCUUAGUUCUCUAAGGAAAAAGAAUUGGAUCCAGACGAGUGGAUCUAGGAGAGCAACUAUGUAAAUACUACAAUGAUAAUGGACCUGACUCAAUUUCCAAAGAAACACUUUAUACAUAUAACUUAAUGCGACUGGCCUUAGGAAAUUAUCUAAGUUAUAGAAUAAGGAAAAAAAAAGAGAGUAGGAGAGGGAGGAUCCAGACAAACUAGGUGAAAAGAAUGAAGAAUCAGGUAAGAUGGAGUUCAGUACAAUUCUGAGCUUGGUACUUCACAGCAAGAGCAAUUAGGGCAUUCCCCAUCCCCUGACCUACCCCCCUCAAUUAACCCUUCAUGGGUGGAGGGAGAAGGAGGAGGGGGAGAGGCAAUAACACAAUUGCCACCACCUAUAAAGCAGCCUAUGACAAGAUUACAAAAGGCACUGAUUAAGGCC